GACGAACGCUGGCGGCGUGCUUAACACAUGCAAGUCGAACGGAAAGGCCCUGCUUUUGUGGGGUGCUCGAGUGGCGAACGGGUGAGUAACACGUGAGUAACCUGCCCUUGACUUUGGGAAAACUUCAGGAAACUGGGGCUAAUACCGGAUAGGAGCUCCUGCUGCAUGGUGGGGGUUGGAAAGUUUCGGCGGUUGGGGAUGGACUCGCGGCUUAUCAGCUUGUUGGUGGGGUAGUGGCUUACCAAGGCUUUGACGGGUAGCCGGCCUGAGAGGGUGACCGGCCACAUUGGGACUGAGAUACGGCCCAGACUCCUACGGGAGGCAGCAGUGGGGAAUAUUGCACAAUGGGCGGAAGCCUGAUGCAGCAACGCCGCGUGCGGGAUGACGGCCUUCGGGUUGUAAACCGCUUUCGCCUGUGACGAAGCGUGAGUGACGGUAAUGGGUAAAGAAGCACCGGCUAACUACGUGCCAGCAGCCGCGGUGAUACGUAGGGUGCGAGCGUUGUCCGGAUUUAUUGGGCGUAAAGGGCUCGUAGGUGGUUGAUCGCGUCGGAAGUGUAAUCUUGGGGCUUAACCCUGAGCGUGCUUUCGAUACGGGUUGACUUGAGGAAGGUAGGGGAGAAUGGAAUUCCUGGUGGAGCGGUGGAAUGCGCAGAUAUCAGGAGGAACACCAGUGGCGAAGGCGGUUCUCUGGGCCUUUCCUGACGCUGAGGAGCGAAAGCGUGGGGAGCGAACAGGCUUAGAUACCCUGGUAGUCCACGCUGUAAACGGUGGGUACUAGGUGUGGGGUCCAUUCCACGGGUUCCGUGCCGUAGCUAACGCUUUAAGUACCCCGCCUGGGGAGUACGGCCGCAAGGCUAAAACUCAAAGGAAUUGACGGGGCCCCGCACAAGCGGCGGAGCAUGCGGAUUAAUUCGAUGCAACGCGUAGAACCUUACCUGGGUUUGACAUGGAUCGGGAGUGCUCAGAGAUGGGUGUGCCUCUUUUGGGGUCGGUUCACAGGUGGUGCAUGCCUGUCGUCAGCUCGUGUCGUGAGAUGUUGGGUUAAGUCCCGCAACGAGCGCAACCCUUGUUCACUGUUGCCAGCACGUUAUGGUGGGGACUCAGUGGAGACCGCCGGGGUCAACUCGGAGGAAGGUGGGGAUGACGUCAAGUCCUCAUGCCCCUUAUGUCCAGGGCUUCACGCAUGCUACAAUGGCUGGUACAGAGAGUGGCGAGCCUGUGAGGGUGAGCGAAUCUCGGAAAGCCGGUCUCAGUUCGGAUUGGGGUCUGCAACUCGACCUCAUGAAGUCGGAGUCGCUAGUAAUCGCAGAUCAGCAACGCUGCGGUGAAUACGUUCCCGGG
rnacentral:rRNA from 1 species